CAUGCAGUCGAGCGCCCCCUUCGGGGGCGAGCGGCGGACGGGUUAGUAACGCGUGGGAACAUACCCUUUACUACGGAAUAGCCUCGGGAAACUGAGAGUAAUACCGUAUGUGCCCUUCGGGGGAAAGAUUUAUCGGUAAAGGAUUGGCCCGCGUUAGAUUAGAUAGUUGGUGGGGUAAUGGCCUACCAAGUCUACGAUCUAUAGCUGGUUUUAGAGGAUGAUCAGCAACUCUGGGACUGAKACACGGCCCAG
rnacentral:rRNA from 1 species